rnacentral:rRNA from 1 species
GACGAACCGUGCAAACGUUAUUCGGAAUCACUGGGCUUAAAGGGCGCGUAGGCGGACAGGUAAGUCAGGUGUGAAAUCUCCACGCUCAACGUGGAGGCGCCACCUGAAACUGCCGUGACUCGAGUCCGGUAGGGGAGUGUGGAAUUCCUGGUGUAGCGGUGAAAUGCGCAGAUAUCAGGAGGAACACCAGUGGCGAAGGCGGCACUCUGGGCCGGUACUGACGCUGAGGAGCGAAAGCGUGGGGAGCGAACAGG